rnacentral:rRNA from 1 species
UGCGACUGAACCGGGAACAGCCCAGCGCAUAACCUCGAACCCUCACUGAGGCGUCUUCGAGGGGUGUUGCGUUCCAGAGGGUCUAGCACGCCGGCCAUUCUCGCCUAAGUCUCGUUUGAAAGCGGCUCAUUACCCAUGGAGGGUGAUAGGCCCGUAUGGCGACUCACCCGUGAGGGAUACCUUGGUCGGCGGAAAGGACUUUUCUGUAGAGUCAGGUUGCUUGAAACNCGGACCAAGGA